UAGGGAAUCUUCCACAAUGGGCGAAAGCCUGAUGGAGCAAUGCCGCGUGAAUGAAGAAGGUCUUCGGAUCGUAAAGUUCUGUUAUUAGAGAAGAACAAGUAAAGGAAUAACUGUCUUGACUUUGACGGUACCUAACCAGAAAGUCACGGCUAACUACGUGCCAGCAGCCGCGGUAAUACGUAGGUGACAAGCGUUGUCCGGAAUUAUUGGGCGUAAAGGGAGCGCAGGCGGUUGGAAUAGUCUGAUGUGAAAGCCCACGGCUUAACCGUGGAAUUGCAUUGGAAACUGUCCAACUUGAAUGCAGAAGAGGAAAGCGGAAUUCCAUGUGUAGCGGUGAAAUGCGUAGAUAUAUGGAGGAACACCAGUGGCGAAGGCGGCUUUCUGGUCUGUGAUUGACGCUGAGGCUCGAAAGCGUGGGGAGCGAACAGG
rnacentral:rRNA from 1 species